rnacentral:misc_RNA from 1 species
UCUCCGUUGGUGAACCAGCGGAGGGAUCAUUACCGAGUUUACAACUCCCAAACCCCUGUGAACAUACCAUUUGUUGCCUCGGCGGUGCCUGCUUCGGCAGCCCGCCAGAGGACCCAAACCCUUGAUUUUAUACAGUAUCUUCUGAGUAAAUGAUUAAAUAAAUCAAAACUAUCAACAACGGAUCUCUUGGUUCUG